CCUACGGGUGGCUGCAGUGGGGAAUAUUGCGCAAUGGGCGAAAGCCUGACGCAGCGACGCCGCGUGUGGGAUGACGGCCUUCGGGUUGUAAACCACUGUCGGGAGGGACGAAGAUCUGACGGUACCUCCAAAGGAAGCACCGGCUAACUCUGUGCCAGCAGCCGCGGUAAUACAGAGGGUGCAAGCGUUGUCCGGAAUUACUGGGCGUAAAGGGCGCGUAGGCGGCCUGAUAAGUAGGGGGUGAAAUCCCGCGGCUCAACCGCGGGGCUGCCUUC
rnacentral:rRNA from 1 species